UCGCAAUAAAACUCUUCCAAUUUGGUGCAGCGAGUGUUGCCGCCUGAAAGCCGAGUUUGGUUUCAAGCCAACCUGGACAACUGCUGUAUGAGGCGCUGUUUCUCAGGAGGAUCAGUGGGAAGGCGUCAGGUCAUGCAGAUGAUAGCAUCAAUUUCACAAUGCCCAGCCUUGGUGCCCUCCAUUAAGAGCAAGCCACUUGCGUUCGCCUUCAGGCAGAUGGUUGAUGUCUUCUAGGAAGCAGUUGGGAAGACUACAUUGAUGCAAGAUUCCAGCAAUGCCAUGCGCUGCAUUUAUUGGUCAAGAUGCUCAGAGAAUGGAGUCCCUGCACCUCGUGGUGAAACGUGAACAUUUUCUUUCUUUUGGAAAGCUAAA
rnacentral:lncRNA from 1 species